GCCAUGGUGUGACUCUGCAUGAAGAACAAGGAGGAGCUGGGGCAGUGGCUCAGUCAGUAAAGUGUUUGCUGUGCAAAUAUGAGGACCUGAGUUCAAAUCUCCACAAUCCAUUUAAAAAGCCAAGCAUGGCACAACACGCUGGGAUUCCAGUGCUGGGGAGGCCGAGACAGGUGAAUCCCUGAAGCUUGCUGGCCUGACACAUUAGCUAAUGGGGCAAAACCAGCUUUAAAGUUCGUGGAUUGGACAGCUAACACCCACUAGGACAGAGUUGAGAAGCGGGACCCCUAAGAGGUGGUGAGGCCUUUAGGACUCUGCCUUCGUGGAUGAUCAUUCAACAAGAAGAUCCUCUUCCUGGCCAAGCAUGUCGUCUUGAGGCUGAUGCAGAAGGGUCACAGGGUUGAGGCCAACCUGGGCUACUGGGAUACAUAAAGAAUCACGGUUCAGCUGGGCUACCUCAAACCUUAUAUCAAAAUACAAAAGAAAUAAAUAUAACCCCCAAAUGAACAAGUCCAAAAAGCUUUAAAUUCAAGUCUCUAACUCUUGAGCUCCCAGCCUCCAGAACUUUAAGAAAUCUUUCUUCUUUAUAAAUGACUCCAUCUCAAGCAUUGUGUUAUAGCACCAAAAAAAAAUGGAUGAAGAUGUUUAAUCUCAACCCAA